AUCGAACGCUAGCGGGAUGCCUUACACAUGCAAGUCGAACGGAGUGGCGAACGGGUGAUUAAUGUAUCGGAACGUGCCCAGUAGCGGGGGAUAACUACGCGAAAGCGUAGCUAAUAACGCAUACUUUUGGAGCGGCCGAUAUCGGAUUAGCUAGUUGGUGGGGUAACGGCUCACCAAGGCGACGAUGCGUAGCUGGUUUGAGAGGGCGACCAGCAACACUGGGACUGAGACACGGCCCAGACUCCUACGGGAGGCAGCAGUGGGGAAUGUGGGGCAAUGGGGGAAACCCUGAUCGAGCCAUGCCGCGUGGGCGAUGAAGGCCUUCGGGUUGUAAAGCUCUUUUGGUAGGGAAGCGGUACCUGCAGAAUAAGCACCGGCUAACUACGUGCCAGCAGCCGCGGUAAUAC
rnacentral:rRNA from 1 species